UGUGAGAUUCUAAAUACACAA
rnacentral:piRNA from 1 species